rnacentral:rRNA from 1 species
AGAGACAGCAGUCGCCGCGGGAAUACGGAGGGUGCAAGCGUUAAUCGGAAUUACUGGGCGUAAAGCGCACGCAGGCGGUCUGACAAGUCAGAUGUGAAAUCCCCGGGCUUAACCUGGGAACUGCAUUUGAAACUGUCAGGCUGGAGUCUUGUAGAGGGGGGUGGAAUUCCAGGUGUAGCGGUGAAAUGCGUAGAGAUCUGGAGGAAUACCGGUGGCGAAGGCGGCCCCCUGGACAAAGACUGACGCUCAGGUGCGAAAGCGUGGGGAGCAAACAGGAUUAGAUACCCCUGUAGUCCCUGUCUCUUAUAC